ACCACAAAUCAAGAUAUUGGAAAAUUGUCAAAAGAUUCAAAACUUUUAUUUAUUUUAUAAAAAUCUAAUUUAGAAAAUUUGCGGUUGUUUUGUUGGUAAAAAAAAAAAACUGAUAUUUUCCAUCUUUACCAUUUUUCCAACGCGUGGGCCGUGGCCCGUGGGGCACCCAAAUUGUCAGUGAAAAAAGAAAUUGCGUCAGGAAACUGAAAACAAUCAAUCGUGACCGUCAGAUUUCUGUCUCAGUUUUUUCCUCAUCGGCAUGGAAAAUAAAUUAUUUAUCUGAAACUGUCGCUGAAAUCUUUUGUAGGUUAAUUACUUUCUUCUACUUUUAGCGGCGCCUGUGAAUCCAUGACCGUCGCGAUUAUCAUCUAAACUCUACUCUCGCUCUCACUUCAGCACUGAUGGCAUCCCCUAACCUCCUUUCUCUGUUUCACUUGCAUUUCAUAAGACGAAGUGCACAACCAUGAGCUGAAACUUAAAGAAUCGGCUUUUUGUAACGACAUUUGAAGCGAAAAGAGUUAAGUGUUUGAAGCUUUUAAGUAGCUGAAAGAGAAUGAGGACGAAGCGAAAACGAGCAUGCAGGAAACCUCCAGCCAAAAGAUCAGCGGCAUUGGCCAAAAAUGAAAAAGCAGUGAACCAAAGUGAAAAGGCACAGAGCCAAAAUGAAAAAGCAGUAAGCCAAAAUGAGGAAGCAUUUUUAACUUUUAUUAACCAAAAUAACAAAGAAGGUUCGGUGUCUGCGGACUCAAAUGAUUUGGAAGUAGUUGAUAAACAUGAUUCUGAUGAUGCCAAGAGUAGUUCGUCGUCGUCAUCGUCCUCUUCAAGUGACAGUAAUGAGUCAUUUAGCGCUGAAGAAACUAAAUCUGAUGACUCAUCAUCGGUUGAUAGGAGAUAUAGGAAAUCAACUAAGGGGCACAGUAAUGGAAAGCAGAAAGCAAGUAAAUUGCCAAAGAAAGAGAAGAAAGAUGAUGUUAAGUCGUCUAGGGUGUUGCGUUCUUCUAGUAAAAAGCAAGAAGAGUUUAAAAUGCCUCAGCAUGAUCCUCGCUACAAUAAGAAAGAACUGAAAGCUGCAUUGGAGGUGAUUAAGAAAAUUAUGAAGAUGGAUGAGGCUCAAUCAUUCAAUGUUCCUGUAGAUCAUGUUGCUUUGGGAAAACCUGAUUAUCCUAAUGUAAUAGAUACACCGAUGGAUUUUGGUACAAUAUGUAGUAAUUUAGAAAAUAGCAUAAAGUACAUGAACUCAGAAGAUGUGUUUAAUGAUGUACAAUACAUUUGGGAGAACUGCUGCAAGUGCAACAAGAAGGGAGAGUAUAUAGUGUAUCUAAUGAAACGAGUGAAGAAAAAGUUCAUGAAGUACUGGACAGCCGCUGGCUUGAGGAUUGAACAAUCAAGAAAGAUUAAUGUGGGAAUUUUGUAUGAACCAUCUAUGACAGACCAUGCGACAUGGCACAGCAGACAUGAGCCCUUCUAUCCAGUGGGCAAUGCAGUAGAUGGUGCCAGUCAGCUGCAGCAGGAUCAUUCGGGCUUCAAUCAGCACCAUCCAUUCUUGCCUCCAUUAAGCUAUAGCCAACCUCAUCAAUUACCGCAACCUCCACCAAGCACUGCAUGGCCACAGUUCUCCCAGUUGCCUCCAGUGAGUUAUCAUCAACCUUGUCAAUCACAGCAUCCCCAGCCAAGCACCAACCAGCCACAAUUCUCCCAAUUACAAGCUUGCACAGGAUGUAACAGUGCAGGAAAUUCUCAUUUUCAGCCACCUAACGACAUAGCCUCAAAACAUAAAAAGCAUGCAUCUUCAUUAAAACACAAAAAGAAUGCAUCUAUGGCUCCUGCAGCUUCAAUAUGCGGUGGUGCACCCAGUCAUACCCACUUACAACAGCCCCAGUUGAGCCACAAGCAGCCAUAUGGUUUGCAGCAGCAGUCCGGCAUCAGCCAGCUACAACCCUCUCAAUUGCAUGCUGUUGCAGAUGGUGGAUAUUCACAUUUUCAGCCUCCUGUAGACAUAACCCCAAAAAAUAAAAAGCAUGCAUCUAAAUCGAAACACAAAAAGAACCCAUCUAUGGGUCCCACAGCCUCCAUUUACGGUGGGCCACCCAGCCAUUCGCAUUCACAACAGCCCCAGUUGAGCUACAAACUGCCGUAUGGUCUGCCGCAGCACCAGCAGAGCAUCAGCCAGCUACAACCCUCUCAAUUGCAUGCUGUUGCUGAUGGUGAUUAUACAAGGUCCAGUGGGUAUGUGCCCUGGUAUCCAGUGGAUCCCAUGGUUGUUGGCCCUGGCCAAUCACAUCCCCAACAAUCCCCAUUGAGCAAUGGCGAAUCUAGUGAACCACAGCAACCUCAACCGCAGGCAAGCCGUUGCCAGCCUCAGUCAUCCCAGCUGCAGGAAAAUGUAGAUAUUGAACCUUCACACAUGUCACUUACGGAUUCUGCCUUGAAGGGUAUUAGAUGUGCACUUAAGUAUUCUUCUGGCCCCACAACCAACAAAUCUAUCCAAGAAAAUCAGGCUCAGUCAGGUCCCAUCGAACUACAGCCUGAGCAGACCCCACAGAGACAGCUCCCCAAAAAGAAGAAGAAAGGAAGAGGUCCCACUCGCUGCCUCUUCUUGAAUGACCUGGCAGAUGGUGAGCGGAUAGUUGUCUGUUUCAACAACCUUGGACAGCCUAUUGGUCCUGAGUCAUCCAAGCUAAGCAGCUUCCUGGGCACUAUAGCACGGAAUGGACACAGGGCACCCCUCAAUUUUGUUCACUGGAGGGCAAUGCCAGAUUCUUACAAAGAGGAAAUGUGGGAAUAUGUUCAGACAAAGUUUGACCUUGAUCCAAGUGGCAAGUCUUGGGUCAUGCAGUCUCUUGGUACAAAAUGGAGGGACUGGAAGGCAGAUCUAAAGGCGGCAUAUUAUGAUUCUCUUGAGACAGAUGAAGAGCGCUUGAAGGUACAAGAUCCAAGGGUUGUUCCUGACCAAUGGCCAAGUCUUAUCUCAUAUUGGAACUCUGAUGACACAAAGAAGCGUUGUGCUACAAAUAGGGCUAACCGUUUAAAACAGAAGGGUUCACAUUCAUCAGGGACUAAGAGUUAUGCAAGGAUACGAGAGGAGGAGCAAAACAAGAGGCCUGAUGGGAAGGAGCCAACUAGAGCUGAGCUUUAUAUAUUAACACAUACACGUAAGAAUGGACAGCCAGUUGAUGAGACUGCAGCAGAAUUUAUUUUGAAGAUCCGUGAACAAGAAGCUAACAAACGGAUUACCUUACAAUGUAGUGAUGAAUCAAAUGACACCUUGUGUCAAGUUAUGGGAGCAGAAAAACACAACCGUGUGCGAACUUAUGGACUGGGUCCCACUCGUGCUGAUGUUUUUGGCCCAAGACCUAGCCGUGAUGACCUUGUGAUGAUUGCUUCUGAGGCCAAAAAGUCAGCAAAUGAAGAGGUGCGCAAGAUGGUAGUGAAAAUGGAGGCUAUGGAGGAAAAAUAUGCACGUAUGGAAACCCACAUAGCUCGAAUGACUUCAAACAUGGAGAAGUUUCUUGAGAAGAUCGGCGGAUCUUCAAAUAUUUUGGGUUUUGAACAGUGUGUAAGAAAAGACCAAUUUUUGUUCAGACAAAUGAAGGGAAAAAGAGCCCACAAGAAAGGAAACAAAGUUAAACCCAAUGCUGCUGUGGUAGCUCCAAUUGAUGCAGCUGUGAAUGUUGAGUGUAAAUAGUGAAGACAAUUCUGUUAAUGAUGAAUAUGAGUCUGGAAUGGAAGUUGAUACUCCAUCAACCGGAACCGAUCAGACAAUGAUAUUAUCUGUACACUUUCAACUGCAUUGGGAAAGCGUGAGACAAAUGCUCGAAUGGCUAAAGGUCAGACUGGAGUUCAGGAGCUCCAGCAAGAGGAAUCUUCAUCUGUUGAUAGUCCUUAUGGUGAGGAUUCAUCUUUAAAUAUGGAUGAAUCAAUGGACCCAGAUGCAGAUGCUGAGGUCGAAGGUGAAGGAGAGAAGCUUGAAGUGGAGAUGUCUGAGCAGCAGUAUAGCCAUAUGGAGGAGAGGCAUAAGGAAGAGAAUGAGAUAAAGACUAUGAACAAAUGUGAAGGUGAAACGAAAGAGCAAUCACAAUUCGGAGAUAGAUUGUCAGAGGUGCCUAGUAGAAAUCUCAGCCUGAAAUAGUGGAGAAGUCCGGUGCGGUAGCCCUAAAUCAGAAAGGAUCUACUCCAGCACAAAAUGAGGAAGAAAGUAAAGCAGUUCAGCAACAGAGCCACAAGGAGUCACAAGAAAGACAACAAAGACCUAAGAUGUUGGAGAGUUUCUGCUUUGAAAAUCUCAAGCUCCUUAAUUUAUGUGGAAUUCUCUUUCCUGACAAUCAGACGUCUGUUUGGAGUGGCCUUCAUUCAUUGGUCAGAAUCGGGGUUCUAGAACUACUCCAAUUCAUGCAGCUAUUGGAACUUAUAUGAAGUAGAUUCACUUUAAGCAGAUGAACGCCAUCGUCUCAAGGGCUGGAAGUUGAAGGUGGUGGAG